rnacentral:rRNA from 1 species
UGGGGAAUAUUGCACAAUGGGCGCAAGCCUGAUGCAGCCAUGCCGCGUGUGUGAAGAAGGCCUUCGGGUUGUAAAGCACUUUCAGCGAGGAGGAAGGUGGUGAACUUAAUACGUUCAUCAAUUGACGUUACUCGCAGAAGAAGCACCGGCUAACUCCGUGCCAGCAGCCGCGGUAAUACGGAGGGUGCAAGCGUUAAUCGGAAUUACUGGGCGUAAAGCGCACGCAGGCGGUUUGUUAAGUCAGAUGUGAAAUCCCCGGGCUCAACCUGGGAACUGCAUUUGAAACUGGCAAGCUAGAGUCUCGUAGAGGGGGGUAGAAUUCCAGGUGUAGCGGUGAAAUGCGUAGAGAUCUGGAGGAAUACCGGUGGCGAAGGCGGCCCCCUGGACGAAGACUGACGCUCAGGUGCGAAAGCGUGGGGAGCAAACAGGAUUAGACACCCUGGUAGUCCACGCUGUAAACGAUGUCGAUUUUGGAGGUUGUGCCCUUGAGGCGUGGCUUCCGGAGCUAACGCGUUAAAUCGACCGCCUGGGGAGUACGGCCGCAAGGUUAAAACUUAAAGGAAUUGACGGGGUC